rnacentral:rRNA from 1 species
AAACUGAAGAGUUUGAUCAUGGCUCAGAUUGAACGCUGGCGGCAGGCUUAACACAUGCAAGUCGAGCGGAAACGAUGGUAGCUUGCUACCAGGCGUCGAGCGGCGGACGGGUGAGUAAUGCUUAGGAAUCUGCCCAGUAGUGGGGGAUAGCCCGGGGAAACCCGGAUUAAUACCGCAUACGCCCUUUUGGGGAAAGCAGGGGAUCUUCGGACCUUGCGCUAUUGGAUGAGCCUAAGUCGGAUUAGCUAGUUGGUGGGGUAAUGGCCCACCAAGGCGACGAUCCGUAGCUGGUCUGAGAGGAUGAUCAGCCACAUCGGGACUGAGACACGGCCCGAACUCCUACGGGAGGCAGCAGUGGGGAAUAUUGGACAAUGGGGGCAACCCUGAUCCAGCCAUGCCGCGUGUGUGAAGAAGGCUUUCGGGUUGUAAAGCACUUUCAGUGAGGAGGAAGGCUUUCAGAUUAAUACUCUGGAGGAUUGACGUUACUCACAGAAGAAGCACCGGCUAACUCCGUGCCAGCAGCCGCGGUAAUACGGAGGGUGCAAGCGUUAAUCGGAAUUACUGGGCGUAAAGCGCGCGUAGGUGGUUGAGUAAGCGAGAUGUGAAAGCCCCGGGCUUAACCUGGGAACGGCACUUCGAACUGCUCGGCUAGAGUGUGGUAGAGGGUAGUGGAAUUUCCUGUGUAGCGGUGAAAUGCGUAGAUAUAGGAAGGAACACCAGUGGCGAAGNCGGCUACCUGGACCAACACUGACACUGAGGUGCGAAAGCGUGGGGAGCAAAAAGGAUUAGAUACC